UACGUAGAGUGCAAGCGUUGUCCGGAAUUAUUGGGCGUAAAGGGUACGCAGGCGGAUAAUCAAGUCAAGCGUGAAAGGUGUCGGCUUAACCGACAGACUGCGUUUGAAACUGGUUAUCUUGAGUGUAACAGAGGAGAGUGGAAUUCCUAGUGUAGUGGUGAAAUACGUAGAUAUUAGGAAGAACACCAGUGGCGAAGGCGACUCUCUGGGUUAACACUGACGCUGAGGUACGAAAGCUGGGGGAGCGAACGGGAUUAGAUACCCCGGUAGUCCCAGCCGUAAACGAUGGAUACUAGGUGUUGGAGGUUCGAAUCCUUCAGUGCCGGAGUUAACGCAUUAAGUAUCCCGCCUGGGGAUUACGAUCGCAAGAUUGAA
rnacentral:rRNA from 1 species